UGUUCUGUAGCUUAGUUGGUUAAAGCGCCGGACUAGCGAAAACGGAGUCGUGGGUUCGAAUCCCACCAAAACAA
rfam:Aedes albopictus isolate Foshan contig18414, whole genome shotgun sequence.